rnacentral:rRNA from 1 species
CAGUAGCCGCGGGAAAACGUAGGUGGCAAGCGUUGUCCGGAAUUAUUGGGCGUAAAGCGCGCGCAGGUGGUUUAAUAAGUCUGAUGUGAAAGCCCACGGCUCAACCGUGGAGGGUCAUUGGAAGCUGUUAAACUUGAGUGCAGGAGAGAAAAGUGGAAUUCCUAGUGUAGCGGUGAAAUGCGUAGAGAUUAGGAGGAACACCAGUGGCGAAGGCGGCUUUUUGGCCUGUAACUGACACUGAGGCGCGAAAGCGUGGGGAGCAAACAGGAUUAGAUACCCCAGUAGUCCCUGUCUCUUAUAC